rnacentral:rRNA from 1 species
CUGUAAGCCUGUGAAGGUGUGCUGUGAGGCAUGCUGGAGGUAUCAGAAGUGCGAAUGCUGACAUAAGUAACGAUAAAGCGGGUGAAAAGCCCGCUCGCCGGAAGACCAAGGGUUCCUGUCCAACGUUAAUCGGGGCAGGGUGAGUCGACCCCUAAGGCGAGGCCGAAAGGCGUAGUCGAUGGGAAACAGGUUAAUAUUCCUGUACUUGGUGUUACUGCGAAGGGGGGACGGAGAAGGCUAUGUUGGCCGGGCGACGGUUGUCCCGGUUUAAGCGUGUAGGCUGGUUUUCCAGGCAAAUCCGGAAAAUCAAGGCUGAGGCGUGAUGACGAGGCACUACGGUGCUGAAGCAACAAAUGCCCUGCUUCCAGGAAAAGCCUCUAAGCAUCAGGUAACAUCAAAUCGUACCCCAAACCGACACAGGUGGUCAGGUAGAGAAUACCAAGGCGCUUGAGAGAACUCGGGUGAAGGAACUAGGCAAAAUGGUGCCGUAACUUCGGGAGAAGGCACGCUGAUAUGUAGGUGAAGUCCCUCGCGGAUGGAGCUGAAAUCAGUCGAAGAUACCAGCUGGCUGCAACUGUUUAUUAAAAACACAGCACUGUGCAAACACGA